rnacentral:tRNA from 1 species
GGACCUUUAGCUCAGUUGGUUAGAGCAGCCGGCUCAUAACCGGCUUGUCCGGGGUUCGAGUCCCUGAAGGUCCA